UUUUUUUUUUUUAAUGAGGAUCUAUGUACAACAAAAGAACAAUUGGCUAACUUGCAUAGAAAAAGUCAGCUAGCUUAAAUGCUAUAAAAUGCUAGUUUAUUUCACAAUGCUCUUAACAAAUGAUUCAGACACAUUUUCCCACAAAAAACAGCUAAAUAUACCUAUAAACUAAAUUAUGAAUACAUUAAAAAACAUUAGCUCAAACAAAAACUUAGCUCACGUUGGUCUUAACAGGGAGCAGUUGGAUUCAGCCAUGUAAAAAGAGGCAGACCAGAGGGCAGUGCAUCCACCCUAAUCAAUAAAAGUAAAUGCAAACAAUUUCAAAAUAAACCAUUACAAUGCCACUUUCAUUAAACAAAUACUCGAAGCAACAACAUUUAAUUCGAAUGUUUUUUCUAAUCGAAUACUCGAGUUCAUCGAUUAAUCGUUGCAGCACGAUACUGUUGUUUCUUUUCUUCUCCGAUUUUUUUCUUUCCUUUCUCUGCUCCAGAAGGAUAAAUUCUCUUCCACAUAUCCGUGCAUCUAUUUUCCAAGCAAGUUUGAGCACCAAUCAUCGCAAAGCAGGUUUAACGUCACUCCCCAGGUUGCCAGAUUGUAAUGACAAGAAAAUGGAUGUUUGCAUAGAUCAGAUUGUAAUGACAAGAAAAUGGAUGUUUGCAUAGAUCAACGGCAAUGCGCCCCACAUUAUACACGAUGCCCUAUUAACAACCUAUAAAAUGAGGUUUCCAGAUUGGGGCCCCGCCCCCGAGUGGUCAGGGGCCCUACGCAGCUGCAUAGUCUGCGUAUAGGCUGGGCCGGCCUUGAUCCUAUCCUAUUGUUUAGCCACAACUGGAUUCAUUACCUUGUUACUUUUAAUCUUUCACACAGCCGCUGGAAACAAAUGUUUUAUCCAUCUGCAGGCGACCAUCGUGAUUUUACAGCACUAUUUGGGUGUGUGUCUGCCUUAAGGCAAAACACCACCGCUUUUGUCCAACGGCGUCGCUGAAAUCGACUAAAACUGAAAAGUGACCAAGUGUUGCCAUUGACAGCACUUAAACCUCCACUCCAUUUGAACUGGAAGGGCUGGAAGCGAACGAACGUAUUCGCUGUCCCCCUCCUUGUUCAAAUGGAGUGUAUGUUUACUAGUGACAAACAGAUUGAAAUUCACAGACAAAAAAAAAAUAAACUAAAUGAUUGUACACGUACAUGACAAAGCAGUACUAACAAAGCAUUUGUAAUUGCAAUCAUUUUCUGGGAGAAAUUGAGCAUUAACUGACAGAAUUGCAUGGGUGCCAAUACUUUUGGCCAGCAGUGUACGUCGGCUCCUUCAUUGAUGAUGUGAGUAUGCGUUGUAAAGUGAAUUAAAGUCGCUGCACAUAGACUGUGAACAUUCCUCACAAUGCUUGGUGGAGAAACAGUUGUGAUGAUGUCUUCUUGGGUCCGUUUUUUUCCCCGAUCGUACACAAUCGUGAUCUAGUUUUUAUCGGCCAUGACUGUUUGCUUGGAUGACCAAACGUCCUCUUUGCCCGGACAUGUCCACUUUUCACGUCCUGUCCGUUGCAUCCGGCCUGAUUUAUAAAUUCUGAUGAUCUGAUGGGAUGGUAGCAUGUCUGAUUAAGUGUUUACGAAAGUGAAAUGCCAUGGAAAUAUCCAAUCUUGCCUAGCUUUCAAAAUAAAACCUGUGAUUGCAGGUGAACCAGCUUAUGAAAUGAGGGAGACUGACCCAGACUGGGCACCACCCCUACAUCUGGGACACACAUCUGUUACACCGACAAACACUGCACGCUCUGCAAGACGAACGUGAGCAGCUACGGAAAGAGACACUGCAAGCACCAGAGAUGGGGGUCCAGCAGGAUGCAAACAUUGAAGAGCUGCAGACCAAGGAGGGACCAUCUGAGCCUGGUGAAAUAAACAGUCACCAACAGAAUGAGGAAGGGACACCUGACGCUGGAGAAGAAAGUGGUCAGCUACAGACUGAAGAGGGGACACAUGAAGCUGGAGAAAAAGUGUACAUCAGAAGCCAUGACCGGCCACCAUGCUUUGCUGCCUAAACUGCGCCUGAGAAGUACAUGUACAAACAAGCUAGGAAAAACUGCCAUGCCGUCACCGCAGCUCCAACAGACCAGCAGAUCCUUGGCCAGCUCACGGUGACCUUUGGGAAAUACAAAGGCAAGACCUUCUGUGGCUUAUGGAGGAAGAUGUCUGCUAUGUCAAGUAUCUCCUCGAUAGCCACGUGAAGGAGAGGCGACGACAGAUGGGAAGGUGCGACACCAAAACUGGGGAGUGGUGGCUGAAGGAGCAGCUUCUACGCUGCGUGGAUAUGUUCCCUCCGGUGUCAUGCCACUUGGAGCAGAACAUCGACCGGGCCAUCUGCGGGCAUGGCAGCUUCCGGUCCUUCAUGUUCGAGGAGAUGUGGCAGUUUUAUGACCUCUCCAAGUUCUUCCGUAACGAUCUCGCCAAAAGCGCAGAAGAAUGGAAGAUGGUCCAGGAAGCCUUCUGCUUCGUGCGUCGGUGGCUACUGAUGACAGAGUAGGACAUCAAUGUCACGUUAAGCGAUUUCGACUGUACAUCCUCACAAAGGAGGAGGUCAGUAGGUCGAUAAAAAAAUAACAAUUUCCUUCCUCACAAAAAAUAUUUAAAAAAAAAAGAAAAAAAAAAAGACCUACAUGGUCAAGGCGUCCACGUCCAAAGGACUUUCUGGCAGGUCUUUUGAUAACUUUGUAAAUUUUAAGGAGGCGGUCAAUGACCUUGUAAAAUAAAACAUAUUGAGAUGUACUUCAUGUCUCAGCUACUUCUUUUUACACACACAAAUAACCAUAUUGCUCGGCAUAGCAUAUAGUCC